rnacentral:rRNA from 1 species
CUAAGAAUAUUCCGCAAUGGACGAAAGUCUGACGGAGCGACGCCGCGUGGAUGAAGAAGGCCGAAAGGUUGUAAAAUCCUUUUGCCGAUGAAGAAUAAGUGGUGUAGGGAAUGACAUCAUGAUGACAUUAGUCGGUGAAUAAGCCCCGGCUAACUACGUGCCAGCAGCCGCGGUAACACGUAGGGGGCAAGCGUUGUUCGGAAUUAUUGGGCGUAAAGGGCAUGUAGGCGGUUUCGUAAGCCUGGUGUGAAAUCCUGCAGCUUAACUGUAGAAUUGCAUUGGGUACUGCGAGACUUGAAUCACAGAGGGGAAACUAGAAUUCCAGGUGUAGGGGUGGAAUCUGUAGAUAUCUGGAAGAAUACCGGUGGCGAAGGCGGGUUUCUAGCUGAUGAUUGACGCUGAGGUGCGAAAGUGCGGGGAGCAAACA